rnacentral:lncRNA from 1 species
GCUUCCUCCGAUGACUUUUAUACCUAUCCAAUCAGUAUUCUUAUUUUUUUAAAAUAAUCAAUAUUAUGGUUGACAUUACUGUCAAUUCAAGUAUUCUUUACAUUGGUUCUGUACAGUAUUUGAAAGAGAAGAGGCUUCCUCCGAUGACUUUUAUACCUCUCCAAUCAGUUCGAGUUAAGCCUAUCAUUGAGAAGUUACGUACUUUAGGUGGUACAGCAAAGCUGGUCUUUGAUGUAAUUCAAUAUCCUUUGCCUAAGCUUCCAUAAGUUUUGUUUCUAUUGUGAGGCAGAAACAUCCCAUGUGCUUGUUUGUUCUUUCUUGUUGAAAUUGCUUCUAUUUGCUCUGAAUUUUUCAUUUCAAACCUUAAGAAAAGUUUUGUUUCCCUGAGGAAAACAAAACAAAUAUUUCCCUGUAACUAAUUUAAAG